CUGAACACGUAUAAAUAUAUUAGCAGUGACGAAGAGAGUCAAAAAGAUCACUGUAUACUUACGAAAGGGACAUUUAGCUUCGGAAAGGGGUGCUGCACGAAGGGAAUAAUUUCAUAAGAAAAGAUAGAAGAUGAAGUAUGCGAUAGUGUUUGUCCUUAUUCUGGUUGCUGCCCUUCCGUCAUCUGCUCUUCCUUCUUCUUCCUGUGAUGUGUGUGAGCAAGAUUUAGACCUGUGUGAGGGUGCAUGUAUAAGAGGCUAUGUCGAUUGCACCGUUUGCACACAGCAAUGGCAAGAUUGCAUUAGCGGUUGUUCUGGAAAAUGAGCUAAAGAACUGAAAGGCUUCAAGAUCACCAAAGACCUCUCGAGUUAUAUUUCAAGAUUUUGUUUUUGUGUUUUAGGACAAAAAUGUAGUACCACAUUGUACGAUUUCCAAAGUAAAUUGAAACUUUAUUCCACGUUAACUGAUAUGAAAUAAAAUAGAAGGAAUUUA